AGCCGGGCUCGGUCGCGCGUG
rnacentral:miRNA from 2 species